rnacentral:lncRNA from 1 species
UGGAAGAUAGCUUAGCCCUUAUCAAGCUUUGCAUAGAACUUCUCAUAAGAGGGAUAGAUAUAGAACCAAGAGUUUGGCUCAAGAUGCUAGAAGUUACAAUGACAUUUUGACAUAGGGAUGGCAACAGGUCAAAUCGAGGGUGGGUAUGCCAUUCCCAUCCCCAUCCCCGUUAAGGAUUUUUUCCCCAUCCCUGCAUUCAUAGCCGCAAUAUUCUAACCGGCAAUUCUCCAUUCUCGCCUUCAUUAAGGAACGGGUCCGCCCU